rnacentral:rRNA from 1 species
AUUGAACGCUGGCGGCAGGCCUAACACAUGCGAGUCGAGCGGAUGAAGGGAGCUUGCUCCUGGAUUCAGCGGCGGACGGGUGAGUAAUGCCUAGGAAUCUGCCUGGUAGUGGGGGAUAACGUCCGGAAACGGGCGCUAAUACCGCAUACGCCCUGAGGGAGAAAGUGGGGGAUCUUCGGACCUCACGCUAUCAGAUGAGCCUAGGUCGGAUUAGCUAGUUGGUGGGGUAAAGGCCUACCAAGGCGACGAUCCGUAACUGGUCUGAGAGGAUGAUCAGUCACACUGGAACUGAGACACGGUCCAGACUCCUACGGGAGGCAGCAGUGGGGAAUAUUGGACAAUGGGCGAAAGCCUGAUCCAGCCAUGCCGCGUGUGAAGAAGGUCUUCGGAUUGUAAAGCACUUUAAGUUGGGAGGAAGGGCAGUAAGUUAAUACCUUGCUGUUUUGACGUUACCAACAGAAUAAGCACCGGCUAACUUCGUG